GACGAACCGUCCUAACGUUGUUCGGAUUCACUGGGCUUAAAGGGCGCGUAGGCGGCCUGAUAAGUAGGGGGUGAAAUCCUGCGGCUUAACCGCAGGGCUGCCUUCUAAACUGUCAGGCUAGAGCACAGUAGAGGCAGGUGGAAUUCCCGGUGUAGCGGUGGAAUGCGUAGAGAUCGGGAAGAACAUCAGUGGCGAAGGCGGCCUGCUGGGCUGUUGCUGACGCUGAGGCGCGACAGCGUGGGGAGCAAACAGG
rnacentral:rRNA from 1 species